rnacentral:rRNA from 1 species
UGGGUUGUACCAGAAGUAGAUAGCUUAACCUUCGGGAGGGCGUUUACCACGGUAUGAUUCAUGACUGGGGUGAAGUCGUAACAAGGUAACCGUAGGGGAACCUGCGGUUGGAUCACCUCCUUACCUAAUAGAA